UUUUCGACAUUCAGUAAUGGAUGGUUGGAAUACGCACAGUGCAGCUGACCACACAGGUGCCUGCAAUGGGGAAUCCGCCCCAGGGACUCAGGUGGACUAGCUGGGAGAGGAGGGGGCCUGCGUUGUGUUUGUUGCAUCGGCAUCGCCUCAAGUGCUCAGGAAACUCUCUGGGCCAGCGUGACGACGGCUUGAGGAGGUGUCAUGGAGCGAGAACCGGAGUGAGGUGGAAGGAAGAGGUCAUGGCGGAGGAGGACGAGGAAAGAGGCUGUAGGAAAUGACAAUGUGUGUGAAGUGAUAAGCCCGCGGCAAAGACCCCGGCACCCUGAGGGAGGACUGGGGGCUACAAGGCUUUAGCCUCAGUGCUCAGUCCGACCACAUUCCCCAAUGACACCGGCCAGUCUUCUUAUUGCCAAGUAGGUCUGGACCAGACAGAGCUUCUGUCUGAGAUGUUGUGUUUAUAGGAAGAUCCAUCCAUCCAUUAUCCAAACGGCUUAUCCUCACGAGGAUUGCAAGCUUUUUCUCCGUGUCGAAAAAGAUCAGUCUUCCCGUGAAGUAUGAAGACAUCCUAAAAUAUUACCCUCCACAUAUUGUACACACAGUGUUAUAAGAGUUACAGAAUUCUUGCACAAAGGUACUCUGUGUAGUCUUGAUUCAAUUCAGUCCCCAAGUUACUUCUUUUGAAAAUAUGACUUAUCUGUAAGGUAUGUUAUGACGUCAUCAGAACAAAAGGUGAGUGCACUUUAUCUGAACUCGCACAUCCAAUGUUUUUGUUUUUUAACAAGGACAUUGCACAACAAACGUGUUGUACAAACCAGAAAUAGCUGCGAGCCAAUUUUCAUCUGAAGUCCCUUGCGCAGAAGCAUUGACAGCAAGUUUAUGAAAUUAACUGAUGAAGUCCAUAUACAAAAACAUUGAUAAAAUAUUCCUGAAAC